GGCUUAGUAAUAAGGAGCAAGAAUACUAGAAAAAUUGACAAUGUUCAUUUUUAUGUUGGUGGCUAACAACGUACAAUGAAGAUGUCAAACAAAUUAUAUCCCUAAUGCAUAAUUUACAUGCUUGAUCAAUCUACUUAGGAGGAAACAGAAAAACUCAGAUAUGAGGCAAAGUUCCUAUGGACAUGAAUUAUCCCUUAAUUUAUGGUACUCAAAUAUGUAUACACAUUACACAGAGUGAAGAAUACAAGAAGAUGUAGUGUGAAAAGUCUUUAGUGACAAAUAUAGACACCAUUUAUUAUUCCAGAUGUUAGAUUUUGAGUUUUCCAAGGACUUAAAUGGCAUUAAAUAUUACAA
rnacentral:lncRNA from 1 species